CACCCGGCUAAGCCCCCACCUGGCUGUACCACGGGGCCCUGAAACUGGGUCUUUAUUCAGCUAAGACAUCCUUCUCCUAUAGGGCUCCCAGACCCUGGGGUCACUGGGGUUCUCUGUGCUGAAGCCAGGUAAGUGCUCACACAUCUGUCAAAACUGACAGUCCUGACCCACCCUCUGGGCAGGGCAGAUCGGUAUGGAAGUUAGAACAUGAAAUCAGACAGCCGGGAUGCUCCUCUCAGAUCUUCCACUGACGAGAUAAUGCCUUUGGGCAGGCAGUUCAACCAAACCAAUAAUCAGCCGCCACACCUGUGAGACGGAGGCUGCUAAUGCACCUGUUUCAUCAUGUUGCUGGGAGGGUAAAGUGACGUCAUAGAGGCAAGGCAUUUGAGCCCCACACUUAGCAAACAGUAAGUGCUCACUGUGUGCUGUCUGUUGUUACCAUAACGGUUCUGAUUGUUAGGUAGUCUUCCGGGCAGCCUCAGGGUAGCUGUGUGUCUGAGAGCCACACAGGGCCCCUCCCGGUUAAUUCCCAAUAUCUGUUACUCGGUCACCCACUGACUUUCCCACAAUAAACCUCUCGCUUCCCACAGGGCCGCGUGUCCUCCACUGCUUUCCCACCUCUUGGUGGCCCACACCCACCUUUCAGCCUCACUUCCUCCAUCCCCAGGCCAGCUUUGAGAGAUGCUGGCUCCUGUCUUUCUGUGGUCUGAACAUGGCAAUGUGGGGUGUGGUUGUGAGAGGCCCUGGGUUCUUGCUCUGCUACGUCCAGUCAGGAAGCAUGGCUGUUUGGUUCGGAGGUGAACGUAAGAAGUAGUUUGGAGGGGCUUCCCUGGUGGGCCCGUGGUGAAGAAUCCUCCUUGUAGUGCAAGGGACCUGAGUUCGAUCCCUGGCCCAGGAAGAUCCCAUGUUCUGCGGGACAGCUAAGCUCGUGUGCCCUAACCACUGAGCCUGCUCUCUGCAACCAGAGAAGUCACGGCAACAAGAAGCCUGCACACAGCGAGGAAGUGUGGCCCUGCUCACCGCAACUAGAGAAGGCCCAAGUAUAGCAACGAAGGAAGACCCAGCGGAGCCAAGUAAAUAAAUAAACAUCUUUU